GUGCGCGCAAAGGCGGGAGAGCUGGCGUCGGAUAGAGGGAGAGGGCGAGUUCAGAAGGCGUGGGGCCAGGCCCUGACACGGCUCUCUGGGAGGGCGACACGGCUUGCGGCCGCUGACCACGGCGGCUGCGGCUGCACGGCAUGUGUGUGUAUAAUUGGCACGUGAUUUUGCCGCCCUUACACGGGCCCACCCCACCACACCGCUCCUGACCUCUCACCCUGUGUGUGGUGUCGCCCAUGUGUGUGCCCGCCCGCCCGCCUGUGUGCAGCUACGCCGCGCGCUUCAUUGCCGAGUACGUGGACAAGACGGUGGGCAAGGACGUGUUGAACGUGGGCGAGUACUGGACAGGUGCGGAGGGCUUGGGGGUGGGGUGGGGUGUAGAUACCAACCCAGACUGAAGCGCACCCAAUGUUGAAGGGGCCGCAGGGGAGCUGGCACAGUGUUGCAUGCUUCCUUCCGUGUGCUCUCCACCGCAUGCAUGCACAAACAACCCAUGCCCGCAACACUCCCCUAAACCCCUCCUCCCUACCCCUCCUCCCUCCUCCCUCCUCCCCCCUCCAGAGGCCCAGUGGCAGGGCGAGCACCUGGACUUCAACCAGGACGGCGCCCGCCAGGUGCUGUGCAACUGGCUGGACCAGAGCAAUGGCAG
rnacentral:lncRNA from 1 species